CACCUUUCCCGAGUGGCCUGUGAGGGUGUCUCCUCCUCCCUCGACCCUCAGCCUCCCUUGCCUUUUGGUCUGGCUCGCUCUCUUGGGCCAGAUGCACAACAAAUAACACAAAGCUUUGGAAGAGACUCCCUAAUUAGCUCAGGCUCUGGCCCAGAGGACUGCAUGGCUGUAUUUAACCACCUGGGAAGUGGCACUGGAAAGAUGCUGGCUCAGCUUUAUCUCUCAGCCUGCUGCAGUGGGAGAAGCAACUCUGCCACCAAUUUGUUGUGGGACCCAGAGUACAUCACUUAGUAUCUUUGUACCCUGUUUCUUCAUUGGUAAGCAUGAGCUUCACACUUGCCUCCCUUCAAGGUUCAAGAUUCUCUGAAUCUAUUCCCCUGCCCAGAGGCAGUGACUCAGGAAUCCUGUGGGUAAUAAAUUAUGUUCUAUAAUAAUGAACCCUUUCCUUCUGUUCUGUCUGCUGGUUCUCCUUUUUACAGUGAACCUUGAUGGGCUGAGACAGAAAAGCUCACAGUUUAGAAAUGAGUUUCUACCCCUUGGAGGUGCCCUCUGUGUGAGAAGAUGAAGGUGACAGGCAUUCUGCAGCAAAGCUUGGAAUAAAGUAUGAGAACUCUUGGGGAGUGCUACUGCCUGCAUAACUCAAAAUCCAACCCUAAACACUGGUGGCAAUGUGUCCUAGUAGGAUAUGAGAGUAAUCAGUUAAGCUCCUAGUAUUUACUGACCAUGAUCAAGUACUAGUGUGGGUGAAAGAAAUCAAACACUUGAUACUUCUCUUACAAGAAAAAUAAUUAAUAGUUUUCACUGUAUUAAAAUGGCAACAGAUUCAUAAGUUUUGUAG
rnacentral:lncRNA from 1 species